CUUUCGGGGUGUGGACAGCGGCGGACGGGUGAGUAUCGCGUGGGAACCUACCUAUCAGUACGGAACAACAGUUAGAAAUGACUGCUAAUACCGUAUACGCCCUUUUGGGGAAAGAUUCAUCGCUGAUAGAUGGGCCCGCGUUAGAUUAGCUAGAUGGUGAGGUAAUGGCUCACCAUGGCGACGAUCUAUAGCUGGUUUGAGAGGAUGACCAGCCACACUGGGACUGAGACACGGCCCAGACUCC
rnacentral:rRNA from 1 species